rnacentral:sRNA from 1 species
UUACAUCACUUUGAUAUACUCAAAUUAGAUUUUGCUAGUUUCUUAUACAUCUAAAAUUGUUGAGGUUGUGUAUAUUACUAGAUUUUAACCCGCGGUACACCGCGGGAAUAAUUUAUUUUUUAAAGUUAGUAUAUAUAAAAAUUUGCAAAUUGUAUCUAUUUAUAAAAUAUUUUUAUUUUAUAGUUUACAACUGUUAUUAAGUAACGUUCUGCCAAACCCGUCCCGCAAAACUCGUCCUGCCAAAAAAAAUAAUUUAUUUUAUUAAUGUUGAUCUUAUUUAUGAUAUUUUUAUGAAUCAUUAUCUAAAUAUUUAAUCGAUGCGGGAUGGUGAACCCACGCAUUUUUCGCCAAUUGGUUAAUAUAUGUUCAUUUUUAAAAUUUCGAAUCACAAAAUAUGACGGAAUUUUUUUUGAGAUUUUUUAAACUCUAUAUAUUAUAUAAUGAUGUUAAAU